GCCCUCACGGCGUCUCCAACAGCCCUCUGCCGGUGUCCACUCCGGAGCCGGUGUCCACUCCAGCAGCAGCUCCCUCAGGUGGGGCGUCACUCUACCUUCCUCAGGCGGGACGUCCGAAGCUUCGGCGGUGGAUUGACACCUCCCCUGCCUCGUCGUCGGGGGGGUCCUGUCAGGGAGGCCUUGGCACUCGCUGCUCCUCUUCACCUACCCAGGCUCCGACAACCUUUCUUGAGGCGGUUAUCAAGGGACCCAUCAAGGCGGCCUGUCCCCCGGCGGUGCAGAAAUUCCCGGUGGUUCACGACCUAAAGCUAGAGGCUUUACGUCAGUCCUCUGCUCCAGUAGCAGAGCGCUGUCCUGCUACUCAACACAGCAGGGACGAAGAAG
rnacentral:misc_RNA from 1 species